AAUUUUGCUUGGCAACCAGAGAUAUGAAAAACACUGCUGGGCCAGCCAAAACAUCUCCUUUUGGUCCUCUUUUCAUUUAAAGUGAAACGAGCCAGAAAAUAAAUUAAUUUCUUUUAGCUGUCAAAGCUGGUGUUUUUAUAUCGCUGGUCACCCAAGGAUAAUUUAUCAUUGCACAAGUAUUGAGUUCAUUUAUUAUUGGGUUUCCUUCGAUUUAAUUAGCUAUUUUAUUGCACUAUUUAUAUUUAUAGGAAAAUUUAUUUUAUACUUUCUAAAAUAGCAUCAUAGGUAUAAUACAUAAGUUCAUUUUUUUUAAUUAAAAUAUUACUUAAGCAAUAUCACCACACAGAUAUAAUAGUUUUUUUCCAGAUAGUUUGUUUAAGAUAAUUUGUUAUUAUUAUAAGAACCUCUGAUCAGCAUCAGCACUUCCCGUGGGCUCUAUGGCUCUACCCCCAAUAACACCGCCGAGCAGAAAGGUGAGGAUGGAUUGGCCGCAGAGGAUGUGGCUAUCUUUUCGCCUCUCCGCAUACCAAGGUCUUUCAUUGAACAUUAUUUGUCCCUAAAGCCGUUGGAAAGGUGCGAAAACCAGCAAGUGGCGAGUCGGCGCCGGUGCGCCUCCCACCCCGUUGGGCUAUUAGAGCAUUAUGAGUUCAUUAACUAACCACCUUUUGCCAUCUCUAACAUUGGGCAGCCAGUAUUAGAUCCCCGAACUACUCAAAUAUCUCUCAUUGCUUUGACACUCCUGAGAAUGAGUUAACAACGCGAGUCAACGGACUGGUCAAUAUUUAUAUUAAAAUAUCCUAUUAUUUGAAGAUAUUUUUAAAUGCCUAUAUCUAUGUAUCAUAUGUACUUGAACCACAAUAAAAUUGAUAAACAUUGUGGCGCCUUCUCGCCACUACUGUUGCAUUAAACUCACAUCGACACAUCGACAGGUGGCAGUGUUACGGUGUGCGAUAAGCGUUGCACUCUUACUGCACCUUUAACCUCGCACGACAGCAGUCGAAACAAAUUUUCUCUCUCCGGCUAAGAGAAGAUUUCGUGCGAGAAUAUUCUAGAAGCUAUUUCUUAUUGGACCCGCACUACGGGAUGAAAAUUUAUUUAACUAAUAAUUGUAAAUGUUCGAAAUUGAUAUUUUCAUGUUAAAAUUAUUUACUGUAAUACUGAGAUUUUAAUUAUUUGUGUAAUUUCACAGUCGUGAUCUUGAUCUUAACUUUACUGAUACUUCAAUCCACGAGUCCGAAAUAAAAGACGCAUUUUUGUCACGGCUCCUCGAUUUCCACAACAUCAUCAACUUAGAAAAUCAAGUUUUAUAAUUGAAAUGAUAAAUUAAUUAAUAACUUUGAAGGAUACAUGAUAUUUAAUUCUUUUUUCAAGUUCUCAGAGUUAGUUGUGUAUUUGUUUAUUUUCACACACUGAAUACUAAAUUACUAAUUAAAUAGGCAGCACUGCAACGAAGGAUAGCCCGCAAAGGCCAAGCCUCCUCGCAAACAGGUUCCAUCGCGGACCAGGAAAGGCCCGGAGUGCUUUUCAACGCAGAAACCUCUAUCAACGUGACACUUAAGCAAGAAGGAAGAUUUGGUUCGGUUGGCUCGAAGAUGGCAAAAGUUACAUUUUUAUUUAUCCCGCUUAUUGUCUGUGCUAUAUCUACGAGUUUAACCACGUCACAAGGAGAGCUUUUUGAGUGUCCACAAAACGCAUACUUCGAUCAGAAAUUAGACAAGUGCAUCGAUUUAGCCAAUGAUGAUGAACUUGACGUCACAGGUUUCAGCAUCACAGGGACUAAUAUACCCAUCAGACGCUGUAGAUCUGGUUUCCGUUACGAAAAAAGACGAAACUUUUGUAUAAACGAAAACCGGAUAAUAAAAUCAAAAAGAGAAUAAUCUUAAGUGUCAAAUAUUAUUAUUAAAAAUUACAUACAAAAUAACCUGUAAAACACACAAAAAUAGCAAUAAACACCUUAAUUUUAUGCAUA